AAAGGACGAAUCACCAAGACGAACAAGACGAGCCUCCACAGGAGCCUGAAGGGAAAGUGACGAGAGCAGCCAGGAGCUGAAAGUUGUGGGCUGCCGCAGUCUUCUCACACAAAAACACGGCCUCAUUGUCGUCUGCAUAGGAUGUGUUCAGUGUGUUUGUCUCAGUUCUGGUUUAAUGUGUUAUUUUUAUCACUGCACUGACUCCCUGUAUGUCAAAAGAUAGACUUUAAAAUCAUGUAACUUGUGUAUAAAGCAGUAAAUGUUCUCAGGACUGAAUACAUUUGGUUUACUUUCAAUUUACCUUUAAAUGUCAUGUGAAGCAGAUGAUGUUUGUAAGAUAGCUCCUCAGUUGCCUUCUUUCAAAAAUCUACGCAUGUUGUGCUACAUGUUAUUUGUAUAAAAGUGCAACAUAAAUAAAGUCAGAUUGAUAUGAG